CCGGUCCCUCCUGCUUGGCCCAUUUUGGCACUAGCACAUUUUUGCUUGUGUCUCUCCGCUCUGAGCAAUCAUGUGCGGUGCCAAUAUGGGAAAAGCAGGGUGCUGC
rnacentral:pre_miRNA from 1 species